ACACGUAGGUGGCAAGCGUUGUCCGGAAUUACUGGGCGUAAAGGGCGUGUAGGCGGCCAUUCAAGUCAGCUGUGAAAUUCCAAGGCUUAACCUUGGGCUUGCAGUUGAAACUGAGUGGCUCGAGUGUCGGAGAGGAAAGCGGAAUUCCUAGUGUAGCGGUGAAAUGCGUAGAUAUUAGGAGGAACACCAGUGGCGAAGGCGGCUUUCUGGACGAUAACUGACGCUGAGGCGCGAAAGCGUGGGGAGCAAACAGGAUUAGAUACCCUGGUAGUCCACGCCAUAAACGAUGGAUACUAGGUGUGGGAGGUAUCGAACCCUUCCGUGCCGCAGUAAACGCAAUAAGUAUCCCGCCUGGGGAGUACGGCCGCAAGGCUGAA
rnacentral:rRNA from 1 species